rnacentral:rRNA from 1 species
UACGAAGGGUGCAAGCGUUACUCGGAAUUACUGGGCGUAAAGGGUGCGUAGGUGGUCGUUUAAGUCCGUUGUGAAAUCCCUGGGCUCAACCUGGGAAUGGCAGUGGAUACUGGACGGCUAGAAUGCGGUAGAGGGUAGUGGAAUUCCCGGUGUAGCAGUGAAAUGCGUAGAGAUCGGGAGGAACACCAGUGGCGAAGGCGGCUCACUGGGACGGUACUGACGCUGAGACGCGAAAGCGUGGGGAGCAAACAGGG